rnacentral:rRNA from 1 species
UGAGGAAUAUUGCACAAUGGGCGAAAGCCUGAUGCAGCAACGCCGCGUGCGGGACGAAGGCCUUCGGGUCGUAAACCGCUUUUCUGAGGGACGAGCAAGGACGGUACCUCAGGAAUAAGUCUCGGCUAACUACGUGCCAGCAGCCGCGGUAAAAACGUAGGAGGCGAGCGUUAUCCGGAUUUACUGGGCGUAAAGCGCACGCAGGUGGCUUAGCAAGUCGGACAUGAAAGCUCCUGGCUUAACUGGGAGAGGUGGUUCGAAACUGCUGAGCUUGAGGUUGGGAGAGGGACGUGGAAUUCCCGGUGUAGUGGUGGAAUGCGUAGAUAUCGGGAGGAACACCAGUGGCGCAAGCGGCGUCCUGGCCACACCUGACGCUGAGGUGCGAAAGCGUGGGUAGCAAACAGGAUUAGAUACCCUGGUAGUCCACGCUGUAAACGAUAGUCAACUAAGGUGUCGGCAGUUUUACACUGGCGGUGCCGAAGCUAACGCGUUAAGUUGA